rnacentral:rRNA from 1 species
UUGGCGUAAAGAGUGCGUAGGUGGCUGCUAAGCGAAGGGUGAAAGGCGUCGGCUCAACCGGCGUUAGCCUUUCGAACUGGCGGGCUUGAGUGCAGGAGGGGAAAGCGGAACUCCAGGUGUAGCGGUGAAAUGCGUAGAUAUCUGGAAGAACACCGGUGGCGAAGGCGGCUUUCUGGACUGUUACUGACACUGAGGCACGAAAGCGUGGGAGCAAACAGGAUUAGAUACCCUGGUAGUCCACGCCGUAAACGAUGAGCGCUAGGUGUCGGGGCCUAUAAAGCCUCGGUGCCGCAGUUAACGCAUUAAGCGCUCCGCCUGGGGAGUACGCACGCAAGUGUGAAACUCAAAGGAAUUGACGGGGACCCGCACAAGCAGCGGAGCAUGUGGUUUAAUUCGAAGCAACGCGAAGAACCUUACCAAGGCUUGACAUCCCCCUGACAGGCGUGUAACGGCGCCCUCCUUCGGGCAGGGGAGACAGGUGGUGCAUGGUUGUCGUCAGCUCGUGUCGUGAGAUGUUGGGUUAAGUCCCGCAACGAGCGCAACCCUUGCCGUUAGUUGCCAUCGGGUCAUGCCGGGCACUCUAGCGGGACUGCCGGGGACAACUCGGAGGAAGGUGGGGAUGACGUCAAAUCAUCAUGCCCCUUAUGCCUUGGGCUACACACGUGCUACAAUGGCCGGCACAAUGGGACGCAAUGCGGCGACGCGGAGCAAAACACCAAAACCGGCCCCAGUUCGGAUUGCAGGCUGAAACCCGCCUGCAUGAAGUCGGAGUUGCUAGUAAUCGCAGAUCAGAAUGCUGCGGUGAAUACGUUCCCGGGUCUUGUACACACCGCCCGUCACACCAUGGAAGUUGGGGGCGCCCGAAGUGGGCCGUUGAUAGGUCCCUAAGC